GCUAUACAUGCAGUCGAACGAACUCUGGUAUUGAUUGGUGCUUGCAUCAUGAUUUACAUUUGAGUGAGUGGCGAACUGGUGAGUAACACGUGGGAAACCUGCCCAGAAGCGGGGGAUAACACCUGGAAACAGAUGCUAAUACCGCAUAACAACUUGGACCGCAUGGUCCGAGUUUGAAAGAUGGCUUCGGCUAUCACUUUUGGAUGGUCCCGCGGCGUAUUAGCUAGAUGGUGGGGUAACGGCUCACCAUGGCAAUGAUACGUAGCCGACCUGAGAGGGUAAUCGGCCACAUUGGGACUGAGACACGGCCCAAACUCCUACGGGAGGCAGCAGUAGGGAAUCUUCCACAAUGGACGAAAGUCUGAUGGAGCAACGCCGCGUGAGUGAAGAAGGGUUUCGGCUCGUAAAACUCUGUUGUUAAAGAAGAACAUAUCUGAGAGUAACUGUUCAGGUAUUGACGGUAUUUAACCAGAAAGCCACGGCUAACUACGUGCCAGCAGCCGCGGUAAUACGUAGGUGGCAAGCGUUGUCCGGAUUUAUUGGGCGUAAAGCGAGCGCAGGCGGUUUUUUAAGUCUGAUGUGAAAGCCUUCGGCUCAACCGAAGAAGUGCAUCGGAAACUGGGAAACUUGAGUGCAGAAGAGGACAGUGGAACUCCAUGUGUAGCGGUGAAAUGCGUAGAUAUAUGGAVAGAACACCAGUGGCGAAGGCGGCUGUCUGGUCUGUAACUGACGCUGAGGCUCGAAAGUAUGGGUAGCAAACAGGAUUAGAUACCCUGGUAGUCCAUACCGUAAACGAUGAAUGCUAAGUGUUGGAGGGUUUCCGCCCUUCAGUGCUGCAGCUAACGCAUUAAGCAUUCCGCCUGGGGAGUACGGCCGCAAGGCUGAAACUCAAAGGAAUUGACGGGGGCCCGCACAAGCGGUGGAGCAUGUGGUUUAAUUCGAAGCUACGCGAAGAACCUUACCAGGUCUUGACAUACUAUGCAAAUCUAAGAGAUUAGACGUUCCCUUCGGGGACAUGGAUACAGGUGGUGCAUGGUUGUCGUCAGCUCGUGUCGUGAGAUGUUGGGUUAAGUCCCGCAACGAGCGCAACCCUUAUUAUCAGUUGCCAGCAUUAAGUUGGGCACUCUGGUGAGACUGCCGGUGACAAACCGGAGGAAGGUGGGGAUGACGUCAAAUCAUCAUGCCCCUUAUGACCUGGGCUACACACGUGCUACAAUGGAUGGUACAACGAGUUGCGAACUCGCGAGAGUAAGCUAAUCUCUUAAAGCCAUUCUCAGUUCGGAUUGUAGGCUGCAACUCGCCUACAUGAAGUCGGAAUCGCUAGUAAUCGCGGAUCAGC
rnacentral:rRNA from 1 species